UAAAGAAAAAAAGAAGAAGAAAAAAACAAAUAUGUAAAAUUAGGGAACAUAUUAGGGUCAUCUG
rnacentral:sRNA from 1 species